rnacentral:rRNA from 1 species
GACGAACGCUGGCGGCGUGCCUAAUACAUGCAAGUAGAACGCUGAAGGAGGAGCUUGCUUCUCUGGAUGAGUUGCGAACGGGUGAGUAACGCGUAGGUAACCUGCCUGGUAGCGGGGGAUAACUAUUGGAAACGAUAGCUAAUACCGCAUAAUAGCAGUUAUUGCAUGAUAACUGUUUGAAAGGUGCAAUUGCAUCACUACCAGAUGGACCUGCGUUGUAUUAGCUAGUUGGUGGGGUAACGGCUCACCAAGGCGACGAUACAUAGCCGACCUGAGAGGGUGAUCGGCCACACUGGGACUGAGACACGGCCCAGACUCCUACGGGAGGCAGCAGUAGGGAAUCUUCGGCAAUGGACGGAAGUCUGACCGAGCAACGCCGCGUGAGUGAAGAAGGUUUUCGGAUCGUGAAGCUCUGUUGUAAGAGAAGAACGAGUGUGAGAGUGGAAAGUUCACACUGUGACGGUAUCUACCCA